rnacentral:rRNA from 1 species
GACGAACGCUGGCGGCGUGCCUAACACAUGCAAGUCGAGCGAUGAAGUUUCCUUCGGGAAACGGAUUAGCGGCGGACGGGUGAGUAACACGUGGGUAACCUGCCUCAUAGAGGGGAAUAGCCUCCCGAAAGGGAGAUUAAUACCGCAUAAUAUUACAGUUUCGCAUGAAACAGUAAUUAAAGGAGCAAUCCGCUAUGAGAUGGACCCGCGGCGCAUUAGCUAGUUGGUGAGGUAACGGCUCACCAAGGCGACGAUGCGUAGCCGACCUGAGAGGGUGAUCGGCCACAUUGGGACUGAGACACGGCCCAGACUCCUACGGGAGGCAGCAGUGGGGAAUAUUGCACAAUGGGGGAAACCCUGAUGCAGCAACGCCGCGUGAGUGAUGACGGUCUUCGGAUUGUAAAGCUCUGUCUUUGGGGGCGAUAAUGACGGUACUCAAGGAGGAAGCCACGGCUAACUACGUGCCAGCAGCCGCGGUAAAAC